UUGAGUCUAAAGCUUAUGGUUUAACCAUCUUGUCUCACAGAUCCUUGCAACAAUCCUGAGAAGCAGGUAUUUUGAUGUCCGUUUCACAGAUGCGCAGCAGAGACUAAAUAAUGAAAUCGAUACUACUCAGAAAGCAUGAAAUUAGUGACUACCGUUUAUAUGGCACCUGACAAUCUGCAAAGCAGUUUUACAUAAGUUGUUUCCUUUGAUUGCAGAAACAGCUUGGAACUGAAGAGGCGGAUAUAAGGUUGGCAUGGUUAAGGAUUUGCCCAAGGUCAACACGGGAACCGGAAGCCGGAUCCAGCUUUCCUCACUCCGAAUCCCGCCCUCUGUCUACCACGCUGUGCUGUCAGAUUCCAUUACUUGACCUUGUGAUGAUGCUAAGUCCAUGGUGAGAGUCCACGAGGGUUCAAGAAACGCCUCUUGUCUAGUGUCUGAUUUCUUGAACCAUGAGCCCAACUCUGAAAAUGCAUCUGCUUCGCCACCGCCUGAAAUGAGUUUAACUGAACUGACCGAUUUGUCAGGACCAAGACUGGUUCCGUGAGACAGAACGAUUUACAAGAUCAAUUUUUAAUGCAUGGAAUUUCAAGGAAGUUUUAGAGGAGGGAACCGUAGGGGCCAAGGGCAGGCUGCCCCAAGAUGGGCCACUUUGGCAGGGACAUUAUUUUGAGUUAAAAGCAAUCGGAACCUAGCAGAUUCAGAGAAAGCUCUUUACCUCUCCAGCAACUGCCUGCUUUACCGGGAAGAGAGCUAUUAACAGAGCUUCUAUUCGCCUAAGGAACUUCUCUGCAUAAUAGGGCACCGAGUGUUUUCCAAACAUCUCCAUUCACCUUCCUGCUAAAGGCCUUUCUGCCCUUUGUAUCCUCAGACCCCUACCCCUCUCCUUAGCUCAUAUAAGUGUCA